rnacentral:rRNA from 1 species
GAUAGAGGGUGCUCGAAGAGAGCGUAACACAGUGCUGCAUGGCUGUCGUCAGCUCGUGUCGUGAGAUGUGGUUAAGUCCCGCAACGAGCGCAACCCUCGCCUCUAGUUGCCAGCAUUCGGUUGGGCACUCUAGAGGGACUGCCGGCGACAAGUCGGAGGAAGUGGGGAUGACGUCAAAUCAUCAUGCCCCUUAUGACCUGGGCUACACACGUGCUACAAUGGGCGGUACAAAGGGCUGCGAACCCGCGAGGGGGAGCGAAUCCCAAAAAGCCGCUCUCAGUUCGGAUUGCAGGCUGCAACUCGCCUGCAUGAAGCCGGAAUCGCUAGUAAUCGCGGAUCAGCAUGCCCGCGGUCGAAUACGUUCCCGGGCCUU